CCCGGUACCAAAAAAAAAAAAAAAAAGACUGACAAUACCAAGUACAGGAUACCUCAGAGAUACUGCAGGCUUGGAUCCAGGUCACUGCAAUAAAAUGAGUGUGACAAUAAGGCAAGUCAUGCAAAUUUUUAAAUUUUCCAGUGCAUAAGAAAGUUAUGUUUACACUGUACUGUAGUCAUGUAAGUGUGUAAUAGCAUUCUGUCAGUAAUGUGAAUACCUUGAUUAAAAAAAAACUUUAUUGUUGAAAAAUGCUAACAAUCAUCAGAGGUGCUAGAAAAAUUGCAGAUAGACUUGAUUGACACAGGGGUGCCACAAAACUUCAAUUUGUACAAAAUUCAGUAUCCACAAAGUAUAAGAAAGUGCAGUAAAAGAAGGUAUUGGGAAGGAUAAGAACAACCAAAACAUACUAUUGGUGGGAAUACAAAAUGGGACUACUUUGGAAAACAGUUUCCUAAAUGGUUUGACACAUAUUUACCAUAAAACCUGGCAGUCCGUCUUCUGUGUGCUUACCCUAAAGACUUGUGCACAAAUAUUCACAGCAGCCUGAAUGGAAACAAACAUCAAAUGGACAAAUACGAGUGCAUCCAUAUAAGGAAAUACUAAGCAACAAAACAAACAAACUACUGAUAAAACAAGGUAGCUGAAUCCCAGAAGCAUUAUGCUAAGGGUUAGAAGCCUGAAGAAACACACCCCAGACUGUACAGUUAUUUCAUUCACCUGCAGGAAAAGGCAAAACUACGGUGACAGAGGAUCAAUGGCUGCUCAAGACUGGUGGUAGAGGAGAGGGACUGGCUGCAAAGGGGCACUGAGAACUGCUCAGAAUGACGGGAUGAGACGGUUUACCACUUGAUUGUGGCAGUGAAUCUACGACUGUCAACUGUCGAAGCAGAGAGAAGGGCAGACAAAGGGAGCCCAGGAGACUCUUUCAAGUUGAGGACAAAGGGCUGGAAGUCUUGGCAGUUUGAGAAGCUGUUGCCUCUGUGGGUCUGCGGCCUGUAGGCUGGUCUGGCACUCUUGCUGGGGCCAUGGGACAGGGAGAAAUCCUGGAGGGACAGCAAAGAAGAGUGAGUACAAGCUGGAACCCAUCAGUUAACCGUGUGCUCGUUUAUUAUCCUAUGUGACUACAAAUUUCACAAAUGGCCCAGCCGGGCCCAGCUGGUGGCACAUACCUAUAAUCCCAGCACUUGAGAGGCUGAGGCAGGAGGAUUGCCAUUAGUUCGAGGCCAGCUUGGACUACAUAGUGAGUUCAAGGCCAGCCACAACUACAUAGCAAGACACUGUAUGCUUUACUUCUGCCUCCCAAUCUGGUACAAGUUUCUUUUUGGCCAACUCUAACUAGACUUAUACUCUAUAGAAGGGAAUUCUGGGUAAUACCCAGCUUGACUGUCAAGAGCCAUUCUACAUAAUUUUUGGAGAAAAACAUUUCAUAAUUAUAUGACUAGCUAUCUAAGGCCCAAUGUCACCUUGCCCACGAGCCAGCUAUGGAAUGUGCCAGAAACAUAACUCCGCUCUGGUCUCAAGUUGAGGCCUCAGUGGUCCUGUGAUACUGUGCCGCUCAAGGAAGGGCAAGAGUAUGUCAGCUGAAGAUAUCAUGGUUCUUGGAGAAUGGAGUAGUGAUAAAAAAAAAA
ensembl:lncRNA